rnacentral:lncRNA from 1 species
GUGGGAGGAUGGCUGACAAGGAGCAUGAGGCGGCCGGCUAGAGGGAGGAGGCAAGUUUAACGAGGAUGGGGUGUUUGCAUUUGGAUACCUUUUAUAAAUGGCAGGAAACCACUAGUUUAUCUUCACUGUGUCUAAAUCAAAAGAACACCCACACCCACCCUGUGGAAGAAGGAACGCCUCUGUAAACAUGGAUUGAUAACUAAACAGCAUCAGGAAGCACAUCACCUGCCCUUUGUAACUAGUCCUCGGCAUUUGCAAGACUAAUCUCAGCACCAGGUAUAAGUGAUGGAGCCAGUUUUCUGCAGGGAAGUCACACGUGGAAAAGCAUUUGUAAAAAAGCAUGAACAAACGAAGGGGGAAAAUCUUAGGGAAGGAUUGGAAGAUGAAGGGGGAAAAUCUGAGUCUGUUCAAAUCUGGAGACCAUAAAAAGUGUUUGAAGCCAUAAGCUUAUAUCUUGGAGGAGAUCCCAGGGUAAACAAAACUUGCCUGAGGAGUCUGGAUAGUGUAAUAGUCCGCCCUGAUUUGACGAAUGUGCUGAAGCCCUCCCAGCUAAUAGAGAACAAGCCCUUUGAAGCUCCAGAUACAGACUUCCCUAGAGCAGGCAGCAGGGUGGAGCUGCCUGGAGGCUGAGAAUGCAGGGUCUGCAGGCAGAACGUCAGGGUUUGGAACAAGAACCAGAGGGAAAUCAAGGACUAAAAUGUCAUCCUAAAAUCAGAAGGUGGUUAGGUCCUUGGAAUUCAACAAAUCGAACACUCAUCCUACUAGUAUUACCUAAGCCAAGCCCUGCUCUGAGGCAGAUAUUCCAUGAAACAAAGCAGACACGGGCCAUUUCUACUGAUUAACAAUACAGUGUGAUGACCACUCCUAUGGGAGAUGCGUGAGUCAGGAACUCCCAUUCCAGUUCAGCGGGGUUAGGAAAACCUUCCCAGGGAAAGGGGCCUUUCAGCUUAAACCUGAAGGAUGCGUUAGUCAAGCAAAGAGAAAAGAGAAGAAUGAACUGCACCAAGGGACUCACCUGUGUUAAGCCCAGAAUCACGAGGGUGCUGGUGGACUGGAAGAGCUGAAGGAGGUUCAGGAGUUCAGAUGAAAGAAACUGGGAUUAUUCAUACUGGAAAAGGAAGGCUAAAAAUUGAAUGAAAGUUUUCAUUAUAAUAAGGUGUUUAUACAGAAGGCAUGACCUCCUGCACUGAGCCUUGCUCAAAAGAAAAGGGGCUCAGGGGUUCCCAGAACUGAUCCAGACUCAGGGAUGGGCCAACCCAAGUAGAAGGGCCAGAAGGCAUCAAAGCACCAUCCCCAGAGAUCCUCAGAACCCCUCUCAGGGAAAGCCUGUGUGGGGUUGGGUGGAGUAAGACCCUUGGCAGUGAGGGUGAGAUGGUCCCAAGGGCUACUCUUAGUAAGAAAUAAGUGGUUGUUAAAUUGCUUUCUAAAAAAGGCAGUCAGUUAUCUGUAGGGCUUUCCUUUUGCCAAAGGGUGUUCCAACUGGGACCAGACCUGUGUGCUUGGAUCAGAGGGCAAGGACUGGGCAGCGCCCAGUGGCCUUCCCUCUCUAGCUCUUCCCAGCAGGGCCCUUAUUCCAAUAUUAAUGUCCCAACAUUAAAAGAACAUUGCCCAGGUGCAGUGGCUCAUGCCUGUAAUCCCAGCGCUUUGGGAGACUGAGGUGUGUGGAUCACCUGAGGUCAGGAGUUUGAGAUCAGCCUGGCCAACACGGUGAAACCUCUUCCGUACUAAAAAUACAAAAGUUAGCUGGGUGUGGUGCUGUGUACCUGUAAUCCCAGCUACUCAGGAGGCUGAGACAGGAG